GUGACUCCUUCGAGCCUUCCAGAAAGCAUGUGAGAAGGAAGCCCUACUCUACUACCAAGGUGACUUCAGGGAGCACAUUCAAGGGUACGUAUUCUGGAAUCACUCACUGGCUGUUAGAAAAAGAUUCUAUAGGAAAUCUGGAGCCUAACUGCUGGCUUUUGUCUGGAGAGCCUCCAUGAUCCAGGACACCUGAGGUUUUAAGAAGAUACGCCGUGUACACCAUCCAGCAUCGGAGGCAUCAUGACUCCUGGGUAAAGAAGAAGAUGUACCCACAAGAAG
rnacentral:lncRNA from 1 species